UGGACAUCAACUUUUGGUCCAAAAGGGACCGAGCUUUGCCUCGGGCCUCCACACAGUCCAAGAAAUAAGUAACGAUUCGAAAUCAUUUCUUUAAAUAGUUUAGAAUAUGAGCACUAAUGAAACUAUUGUUAAUGUUUCUUAUGCAUAAGGUUUGAAACCAUAAAUGUACGGUAACAUUGUAGCCUUUCUCUAGAAGUAUGCAUCCAAAGGUUCCACAAACUACAGUUAUCUAUCUUUGUAUCUAACCUAACAUAUUAGUCCUAUCAUGAAGCAAAGAUUGCAUAUACAAAGAUAAAUAAACAUCAUAACACAAUUGAAUACAUGUUAAUCACAUCCACACAUAUACACAACAUAGCAUAACAAAAGGUAACAAAAGCAUAUAUAUAUCACCUUCUAGUUGCAGUUUUUUUUUGCCAACAGAUAAGCGCAUCAUGCAACUUCAUAAAGCAAUAUUUAGACUACUACAGCUGAUCUACCUCCCGAAUAAUGACCACCCUACGAAAGGUCUAGAUCAUAUCACAAUAGAGGUUCCAACGGUACGAGCAGGAGCUCACUAAGGGAGACAUCCGUGCAUGUAUGUAGUUGUCAUGAAAGAUCGGCAUGCUAGAUCUAAUCUCCACGAUUACAUAAAAGUAUGAUGUAUAGUCUAACCAUGGAUAAAACUAGGAUAAGCACAUUCAUGAUAAUAGAAAGUAUAAGAUGAGCAUUAUUCGAAUAGAUUGGAUGGCACGAAGAACAUUGUUCAAAUAAUAGAUGCGUUAGAUCAUCAUUUAUGAGUGCAUAUCAUUAAUGAUAUGCUAUUGGCUCUUGAACUCUCCAUGGCACAAUUACACAGGGAUAACAGGGUGGUUACGGCUGUACUCCAAAGACUUAUGGCAGCCUUCAUCUCCAUACGGUGUGUCUCCUCCUGUUUCAUCGAUAAUAGUGAAUGGAUGCAAAUGAAUAUCGAGGAGGGGUAUUUAUAACCUAAAGACAUUGUGGCAAGAAAGGUAGGAAAGGG
rnacentral:lncRNA from 1 species